UUACGGUCAAAUCACGCUUGAAAACACCGGUUCUCGUUCGAUCACCGAAGUUAAGCAUCGUAGAGCCAGGUCAGUACUUAGAUGGGGGACCGCUUGGGAACACCUGGUACUGUAAG
rnacentral:rRNA from 1 species